UAUUGGCUGUUCCGUGCGUGGGGAGCAGGAACCCUUGAGCCAACACCCAUAGCAAGGGAGCCAAGGCUGGCAGGGCCGGGUUAAGUAUAAACCCGAAACUGCUCAGGGCGGCACCCACCUGAAUUAUCAGGUCUCAAAGGGUGAGAUCCCGGCGGCGGAACGGCCUUCUC
rnacentral:other from 1 species